GAUGAACGCUGGCGGCGUGCCUAAUACAUGCAAGUCGAGCGAACGGACGAGAAGCUUGCUUUUCUGAUGUUAGCGGCGGACGGGUGAGUAACACGUGGAUAACCUACCUAUAAGACUGGGAUAACUUCGGGAAACCGGAGCUAAUACCGGAUAAUAUUUUGAACCGCAUGGUUCAUAAGUGAAAGACGGUCUUGCUGUCACUUAUAGAUGGAUCCGCGCUGCAUUAGCUAGUUGGUAAGGUAACGGCUUACCAAGGCAACGAUGCAUAGCCGACCUGAGAGGGUGAUCGGCCACACUGGAACUGAGACACGGUCCAGACUCCUACGGGAGGCAGCAGUAGGGAAUCUUCCGCAAUGGGCGAAAGCCUGACGGAGCAACGCCGCGUGAGUGAUGAAGGUCUUCGGAUCGUAAAACUCUGUUAUUAGGGAAGAACAUAUGUGUAAGUAACUGUGCACAUCUUGGCGGUACCUAAUCAGAAAGCCACGGCUAACUACGUG
rnacentral:rRNA from 1 species